AACGGCAGCAUGAUCUAGCUUGCUAGAUUGAUGGCGAGUGGCGAACGGGUGAGUAAUACAUCGGAACGUGCCCUGUAGUGGGGGAUAACUAGUCGAAAGAUUAGCUAAUACCGCAUACGACCUGAGGGUGAAAGUGGGGGACCGCAAGGCCUCAUGCUAUAGGAGCGGCCGAUGUCUGAUUAGCUAGUUGGUGAGGUAAAGGCUCACCAAGGCGACGAUCAGUAGCUGGUCUGAGAGGACGAUCAGCCACACUGGGACUGAGACACGGCCCAGACUCCUACGGGAGGCAGCAGUGGGGAAUUUUGGACAAUGGGGGCAACCCUGAUCCAGCAAUGCCGCGUGUGUGAAGAAGGCCUUCGGGUUGUAAAGCACUUUUGUCCGGAAAGAAAUCGCACUUACUAAUAUUAGGUGUGGAUGACGGUACCGGAAGAAUAAGGACCGGCUAACUACGUGCCAGCAGCCGCGGUAAUACGUAGGGUCCAAGCGUUAAUCGGAAUUACUGGGCGUAAAGCGUGCGCAGGCGGUUGUGCAAGACCGAUGUGAAAUCCCCGGGCUUAACCUGGGAAUUGCAUUGGUGACUGCACGGCUAGAGUGUGUCAGAGGGGGGUAGAAUUCCACGUGUAGCAGUGAAAUGCGUAGAGAUGUGGAGGAAUACCGAUGGCGAACGCAGCCCCCUGGGAUAACACUGACGCUCAUGCACGAAAGCGNNNGGGGAGCAAACAGGAUUAGAUACCNUGGUAGUCCACGCCUAAACGAUGUCAACUAGUUGUUGGGGAUUCAUUUCCUUAGUAACGUAGCUAACGCGUGAAGUUGACCGCCUGGGGAGUACGGUCGCAAGAUUAAAACUCAAAGGAAUUGACGGGGACCCGCACAAGCGGUGGAUGAUGUGGAUUAAUUCGAUGCAACGCGAAAAACCUUACCUACCCUUGACAUGCCACUAACGAAGCAGAGAUGCAUUAGGUGCUCGAAAGAGAAAGUGGACACAGGUGCUGCAUGGCUGUCGUCAGCUCGUGUCGUGAGAUGUUGGGUUAAGUCCCGCAACGAGCGCAACCCUUGUCUCUAGUUGCUACGAAAGGGCACUCUAGAGAGACUGCCGGUGACAAACCGGAGGAAGGUGGGGAUGACGUCAAGUCCUCAUGGCCCUUAUGGGUAGGGCUUCACACGUCAUACAAUGGUGCAUACAGAGGGUUGCCAAGCCGCGAGGUGGAGCUAAUCCCAGAAAAUGCAUCGUAGUCCGGAUCGUAGUCUGCAACUCGACUACGUGAAGCUGGAAUCGCUAGUAAUCGCGGAUCAGCAUGCCGCGGUGAAUACGUUCCCGGGUCUUGUACACACCGCCCGUCACACCAUGGGAGUGGGUUUUGCCAGAAGUAGUUAGCCUAACCGCAAGGGGGGCGAUUACCACGGCAGGGUUCAUGACUGGGGUGAAGUCGUA
rnacentral:rRNA from 1 species